UGGCUACGAGACGACGCUGGCGGCGUGCCUAACACAUGCAAGUCGAGCGGGAUAUUGAGAAUGAGAGCUUCGGCAGGAUUUUUUGAUAUUCUAGCGGCGGACGGGUGAGUAACGCGUGAGCAAUCUGUCUCAGACAGGGGGAUAACGCAGCGAAAGUUGCACUAAUACCGCAUGAGACCACAGAGUCACAUGGCUUAGGGGUCAAAGGAGCAAUCCGGUCUGAGGUGAGCUCGCGUCCUAUUAGGUAGUUGGUGAGGUAACGGCCCACCAAGCCGACGAUAGGUAGCCGACCUGAGAGGGUGAUCGGCCACACUGGAACUGAGACACGGUCCAGACUCCUACGGGAGGCAGCAGUGGGGAAUAUUGGGCAAUGGGCGAAAGCCUGACCCAGCAACGCCGCGUGAGUGAAGAAGGUCUUCGGAUUGUAAAUCUCUGUCCUAAGAGAAGAGGGGAAGACGGUAUCUUAGGAGGAAGCCCCGGCUAACUACGUGCC
rnacentral:rRNA from 1 species